rnacentral:rRNA from 1 species
CCUACGGGUGGCUGCAGUGAGGAAUAUUGGUCAAUGGACGAGAGUCUGAACCAGCCAAGUAGCGUGAGGGAAGACUGCCCUAUGGGUUGUAAACCUCUUUUGUCAGGGAGCAACGCCGGCUACGUGUAGCCGGACUGAGAGCACCUGAAGAAAAAGCAUCGGCUAACUCCGUGCCAGCAGCCGCGGUAUUACGGAGGAUGCGAGCGUUAUCCGGUUUUAUUGGGGUUAAAGGUUGAGUAGGCGGAAUCCCAAGUCAGCGGUAAAAUCGCGGGGCUAAACCGCGCUCGGCCGUUGAAACUGGCGUUCUUGAGUGGGCGAGAGGUAUGCGGAAUGCGUGGUGUAGCGGUGAAAUGCAUAGAUAUCACGCAGAACUCCGAUUGCGAAGGCAGCAUACCGGCGCCCAACUGACGCUGAAGCACGAAAGCGUGGGUAUCGAACAGGAUUAGAUACCCGAGUAGUC